AACGAACGCUGGCGGCAGGCCUAACACAUGCAAGUCGAGCGAGGACUUCGGUCCUAGCGGCGGACGGGUGAGUAACGCGUGGGAACGUGCCCUUUGCUUCGGAAUAGCCCUGGGAAACUGGGAGUAAUACCGGAUGAGCCCUUUGGGGGAAAGAUUUAUCGGCGAAGGAUCGGCCCGCGUUGGAUUAGGUAGUUGGUGGGGUAAUGGCCUUCCAAGCCGACGAUCCAUAGCUGGUUUGAGAGGAUGAUCAGCCACACUGGGACUGAGACACGGCCCAGACUCCUACGGGAGGCAGCAGUGGGGAAUCUUAGACAAUGGGGGAAACCCUGAUCUAGCCAUGCCGCGUGAGCGAUGAAGGCCUUAGGGUUGUAAAGCUCUUUCAGCUGGGAAGAUAAUGACGGUACCAGCAGAAGAAGCCCCGGCUAACUCCGUG
rnacentral:rRNA from 1 species